rnacentral:misc_RNA from 1 species
UCCGGUUUAGCACCGGCAGUCCUCCCAGAGUCCCCGCCAUGACGCGCUGGCAACUGGGAGCGGGGGUUGCGCUCGUUGCGGGACUUAACCCAACAUCUCACGACACGAGCUGACGACAGCCAUGCAGCACCUGUGUGCAGGUCCCCGAAGGGAAGGAAUCCAUCUCUGGAAGCCGUCCUGCCAUGUCAAGGGCUGGUAAGGUUCUGCGCGUUGCCUCGAAUUGAACCACAUGCUCCACCGCUUGUGCGGGCCCCCGUCAAUUCCUUUGAGUUUCAGCCUUGCGGCCGUACUCCCCAGGCGGGGCACUUCAUGCGUUACCGCCGGUACCCCGGGGGUCGCUCCCCAGAGCACCUAGUGCCCAUCGUUUACGGCGUGGACUAC